GUGGGGCACUCGGGGAGGUGGCAGUCCCGCUGCGGAGGCGGACGGCUGGAUGGGUCACAUUCUGCUUCCUCAGCUGCUUUCAAGGUGCCGCUGUGGCAGUUCACGGCACGGCGCUGGAUACCUCGGCCACAGGACACCGAGCACUGGAGGAAGGAAUAAAAGACUGAACCCAGGACAUGCUCAUCCCUAAGAUUUAUGCAUUUUGAAAGCAACUCAGAAGACGGCAAGAAGGCAGACCCUGAAGAAUCAAAGCAAAAAACAAAUCAGCAGGCAAUGAACGUCAGCUGCAAGAAAGAAAUAUCAAAUCCUACCAAACCCAGUUGCAAAUGUCUAAUACUUUCAUCCGUUUACUAUCUUUGGACUAAAUACCAGCAGUGAUACUUGAACAAAAAUUCAAGUGCUUCUCAGUAAGCACUCUUCUUGCAGGCUGAUGCCACUUUACUGCGACAGUCAAAGCCAAAGAAUAAAUUCACACACUUGAUCCGGACUCUCUUGCCCCACAUCCCAAGCCAGUACCGCCAGGUGCAUCUUUUCUCUAAUUUAAAAAUACACUGGAUCCACUGCUCAUUCAAAGGAAGAAUAACCACAUUGUACAACAACACAUGGAGAUUUCUGGGGACCCGAAUUUGGUCGAUAAAUAUUCGGUCUCACAAUUAAAAGGAUGCUAGUCAUUGCCAAAAUUAUUAUCCCCCUUCUACAAAUUGCUUAACUUUGGCAUCUGACAUUUAUCUCGCCACUCCACCAUCAAACAAGACUGCAUGCAUACCUUGGUGCACUCAGAGGUUGAGGCAUAAUUUGCCUAAUUUUGUUAACACUUAAAAGUAAUUCCCAAGAUGCUGGAAUUAAUCAUUUCUAUGUCUGUCUUUAAUAUAAAUCAAAGUUAGGCAGCUGUGCAUUUUUAGAUCUAACCCACCCAUUUGCUUUCGUGCACAUGUGAGUUAUGAUCUCAUUUGCACUGACAGAAAAGAGAGGUCAGAUUAUCUAAUGUGACCAACUAUCAGAGACUAAAAUUCCUUUGCAAGGAGUCUACUUCAUAACUGCCUUCUAAUUCAUCUCAGGUAUUUCCAAGUUUUAUUUGGCACAUAUAUUUUAAGCAUAUGUGAGCCACAUGCAGAAAAUAAUUUAGUAGUAGUGCGCUUCAUCUCAACGCCACGUGACUGAGGGAAGAGGUACACCGAGCUACUGCCAUCAGCUUCAUCAUUUAUGUCCGACCCUGAGGAAACUUUGCAUUGCAUUAUUGGGGUUCUUCAUCACUGCAAAUGCUGCUGCCCACUUAUGAAACUACCCCAAAGUACUGGGGAUGGACGGGAGGCUCUCUGAGGAACAGCAGCUUCAUCCAAGGCUCUUUGAAGUCAAUAGAAAGACUUCUACUGGUUUUAAUCACCUCUGGAUCCAGCCCUGAAGGAGCGGCCAAGUGCACCGAGGAACUUGGGAAAAGAUGCAGCAUCUGGAGUGGGGGAAAGGCAAAAAUUUCAAGAUACAAGAAAACAACCUUCCAGAGUCCCACCAAUGCUCCAGCUCACUUCUGUCCUGGCACCGGCAAAAGGAGAAGCUAUCGAAGGAGAGCAGACAAGACUGGCCCUUUUCUGCAGCUCAUUACCCUGGCAUUUCCCCAGCAUUCAGGCACUGGGUUAGGGAGGUUAGAGGGGAUACUCCUAUCUGGUCCUUUUACUUCUCCAGGAGACUGAGACAUGUUAAAUCUAACCACUUGGUCAGAUCACAAUGGGCACAAAGACUGAGGGGUGCCUGCAAGGGAGGAGUGUGGAUUGUGGACACUAGCAGCCAGGAGCGAGCAGAACCCAUAGCAAUAGUAGACCUAUAAAGCUCUCCUUAUUUAAGGAGAAACAGAAGUAGCAACGAAAUAUGUCUGGUGACAAUAGACAAACAACAAAAAUGGAAAGGAAAAUGAAAUUUGGGGAUUUUGGGGUAACAAGAGAGGAAUAAAGUGAUUUUUCUCUGCCAGGCAACUGGGCACCACUUGUUUCACCCACCUAUAAAUGGUUUAGAGCUGCCAUCUGUAGCUUGGAGCACAGGCAGGGACUGAGCUGAGGAAAGACCCACAGAAGAAACCAUUACCCUGCCCUGGAGGAGUAACAAGCUGAAGCUCUACAAAGACCCCAACUGCAUUUACCUUGUGGGACAAGCUCCGAGAACAGCACGAGGCAGGGAACAGGCGGACAGUAAGACAGCUAGUAGAGCUGUGCCCAGCCCAGCUGUGACGCAGGGGUGUGCGCUUUUGGAGGCUGUCUGAAGCUCUGGAUGGGUGUCGCACAGCAGGGAGUCCAAGAAAGGGCUGCAACAGGGCUAGUGUGCUUUUUUUAAACAAAAGCAAAGAGGUCUACACUGUCAAAGGCCUUUUUCUGACUGAGGAACCAAAGCAGACAACUACUUGCCUUUCAUCAGCAUGUCCCUGGAGUCAGUCGGUCUGACUGACCCUAGAGGGGAGACAGCCAGGAGCCCACGAGGGACACAGCAGCCUUGGUGAGACAGCCUAAGCGUCCAGCAAACAGCUUUGAGACAGAGUCAGCUUUAGACAGACGGCUGGGGAUAUCCAGAGGCUACCAAAUUCUCAUUUCGGUUUGGAUCGGCUUCAUUCAAUCUUCACUAAGGCAUCUAUUUCUGUCUGUUUUUCUAAAGACACAUCAGCCACCCAGUGAGCCCCUCUGCUGCAGCAACAUCUGUCCUUCCCCCACAGGCUCUCAGGGUAGGAUUGUUUUUAUUAGUUUUCUGAUAACACCCAGCACGGCAGAGAAAUACAGACUUGCUCUCGCAGUCUUGGAGCCUGAACCAACAGCAUAUGAAUGAAAGACAGAAAAGGCAACAUAGUUCAGCAUGCCUAUCGCUUAAUUUUCAAGGAUGGAUUUGUUAUUGCAAAAACACGUGUAAAAAAUCAUACAGCAGCUCAGCAAUGCUGCUGUCACAGCAAAUUCAUUUUCUGCAGAAGAGAGGAAGGGAACAGCAGAGUUAUAUACAGUUGCAACCAAAUCUGCCCCUGGUUAUCACUUCUGCCAUAGCAAGAGGUGACAUCCUGCCUGCUAAGAAGAUUAUCAGAAUGAUGACAUGGAGAACAUUGCUGUUGCACAGCUUAUUUUCAGCCAGCUUCACGGGAAGGGCAUUUUGUAAGCAACGUGUUGGGGCUUUGACAGAAUUAAAUACAAAUAACCCAAACUUUCCAUUGACACCGAAUUUAAGAUUACAAUUCCUGAGUGCCAGCUACCUGACACGAUUAUUGGCCAGGCAGUCCUGCUUCCCACCGAGCGCAGAGCUCCUCUCCUGCUACCCGUGGCACUGCGCACAGCCAAAGAGCCCUGCAAAGCCGUCAACGCCAGCAGCUUCCAGAUCUGGCUAAGGGGAUACAGUAUUGUUGUGCUAACCUAAACGUGAAUUCACGUUUACAGCAACAGAAUUUGGUGUUUAGCUGGCUAACGAUCUAAUUGUUUUAUACUGAACUUCCAAGUCUUCCUUGUUAGAUCAAAAGGCCCCUAAAGACUGAUACACCAGCAUUUCUGCCCAUUCGACUGGGAGCUGGGAAGCACACAUCACCGUUCUGCGGGCACUAAGAGCUACAACCCAUUGUAUGAGCAGCUGGGACUUUUGAUACUCAAGAGCAGUAAGUAUUUGGCAAGGCAGAUUACUUUUAAAAUUGUAAUACUUUUUAGGAAGGAAAAAAAAAACCAGACUGAAAACCCUACCCACUCAUUUUCCACAGGUCAAAUUCCAGCGAUUAGUGUCCCACUGCAGUGAAGCCCAAUGACUCACCCAAUCGAACCAGGUUCACAUGGUGCUGUGAGAUAUAAUUGUUUUACCUUAUCUGUGCCUGUUUUCUAACUUGGAAAGAGUGAGAAGCCCAGGACAAUGAAUUCAGCAUCACUCAUAAAUCGUAUCAGGAUACCAACGGUACGUUAUGGUAAACCACAGCGCCAAAACUUCACCGAGAUAGCAAAGAGCAAAUCUGCUCCAAGAGAAGCAGAGUCAGCCUCGGGUUUUAAGUGAAGUGUUGGCUAAAUGCUCUCUGGAGCACCUCCCUCGUUCUGGAGAACACGGUGAGACUUCCUCUCAGUAUUCAAGAGCGUAUAUGGAGAUCUGCAUUCAUACCACAAGGCAUUCAGAGGAGAACAAACACUCUCUGUAUCCUGGUGACAAUCUCUGCAUGUUUUCUAAAGCGUUAUUUUAAUAAAAAGGGCAGGCCUAUCACACGGCGUACAGUUCUGCAGUGUUUAAAUACAUGUUCUUAAAUAAGCAAGGAAAUAAGUAUCACCUCCACUUAGUCCUCACUGAACAUAAAUUAUAACAACAAGGUAUCUCACCAGUCUCCUGGUAUAAAGUUAUCAUUUACACACAGAAUCUGUUUAUUCAUUUAAUUAGCUCUUUAAAACCCGGAUUUAACCAGCCAGAUAAAAAUCACUCAUUUACGGCAUAAAAUAUCAGUGGAACUUCACCUGAGUACUGAGGGUGGGACUCUUCAGACCUUCUCUGCUUUAAUUUAUAUGUAUUUUAUAUGCUAAUUUCACACAAAUUUGAGUGAGCUAAGGCAAUCAGAGGCUUGCAAGAAAUUAGUUAUCCAAAAUUCAUAAACUUUUAACUGUGUUUGUUUAAUUAUUGAGAAUGACAGUUCUGUUGGAGAACAAAGCAAGUAAAAUAAAAGCGAGUCAAAAGAUGGAACAUUGCAGCAUCACUUCAGAAAAUUUAGCAAAAGUUACCAAAACUAAGUAUAUGAUCUUAAUUUAGCAAAAGACUCAAGAAAUCAUUAUACAAAUUCAUUUAUGAUUACAUUCUACUCAUCUUUAAUUUUCACUGUUCAACAUUAACAUUAAACAUCGUAAAUGUAUGCAAUAUUUAUAUAAAAUUAAAUAACAAUAUUGGAAAAAUAAAUACACUUUUACAUAAAUACAUAAAUCCAUACUGCUGAAAAGUUUCAGCUAAUACUAUACUCUUGUUUCAAAAGUGACCAAAAAAAUAUGGUAGUGACACUCCAUCCCAAAAGAUGAAGUAUGUACAGCUACAGAAUGAUGCUUGCAACCGAUGACAGAGCUAAAGCAAAUCCAGGUGAUACCACACUAAAGAAAAAUAAUUUGGAUGUUACUACCUACAGUAGUAGCACGAGGUAGACACACACGGGGAGUAUUUUUGCAGGAGGGAUACGAAGACCUUUUGAACCCAUAGAUACAAUUCAGUCUUCAAACAGGUCCCCUAUGUCAAAGCCAAAGGAUACCUCGGUAAUAAGACCUGAAAAAUCAAGUCACUGUCUGGCAACGACUGGGGCUAAGCUCCGCAGCCCCUUCCCCGUGGGCAGCUCGGAGGAGAUGCUGUAGGCAGGAGAGGAUGCCCCUGCCCUCUCUUUGCUUGAUAUCCCACCUGCUUCCAGGAGACUGAGCAAGCACAGCCCACCAAGGUUAACACAACCUAGUAGAGUCAAGGAAUUUGUUUCCUGGGUGAAGAAAACCAACCCGAACCCAAAACAUAAGACCGCAAGUUGCAUUUCCAACACAGAGGAGCGGACGCAGCCCUGGAGCCUGCUCCUGAACAGCUGUGAAGAGGCUGAAUGCUGACCAACACCAAAAUGCAACACAACUCUGUCCACACUUUGGGUUCUUGCAAAUGGUCCAGCAUGGGUAGCAGAGGCUGGCACAGCAAUUCCCAGCUGGCAAUUCUGCAGGGAAGCUCUGCUUGGCUCACCUCACUCCUUUUUAGCACCAACUACAUCAGCAUACAAGUGAUACAUUAGCACCCCAAAUGAAAUAUUUCAUAUCACUGUCCCCUGCACUGGUGAAGCACUGUAUAAACACCAGUUCAGCAGUUUUAUGGCUAUUGCAUAACUCACUGAGGUACGGUAAAAAGUGAGGAGCAUUACUGAAGGCGUCUGUGCUACUGAAAGCACCCGCAGAAACAAGGGCGUGGUUAUGUUUUAGCAAGAUGACUUUUCAAACCAUGACAAUUAAGGAAGUCCAAUACAUUACAAACAGGCCCUUAUUUUUUUUUCCCCUAUAAAGUGCUUUAGAGUCAAAUUAAAUUCUUUUAAAAAUCAUCUUCAAUGCUUUUAUAACAAAAUACACAAUAAAGGUUGACAUUCAUUUGAAGGCCACUCCGAAACCGGCAGGUCCGUGGUUUCCAGAACACCAGAAGAGCUCCGGGUGGCCCUCACCUUGGCACACCAGGGCUCUGCGCUGAGCAGAAGGUGCUGCUCAGGACAAGGAGAAUUUCAAAGCUGUGGGACCCAAAAUCUCAGCCCUGCCAUUCAGAGCCGCUCUGCCCUGACAAGAGCAUCGCUGUAGUAGACUCCUCCAGUGACAAAGGAGCAGCGUAAGACAUCUCUGCCCCAAAAACUACUUUGCUAGUAGGAAACUCCCAGGGUUUUAAGCCUUCCACCACCUUGCUGAUCCCUUGCUGACUCAAUGGUAUCUAGAGCAGCAGCUGGACGUCAGGCCAGACAAUAACUCUCCAGAACCAGAGAGAUGCACGAGAAUAGAUCAGGGGUGCCUUCGCACAUCACAUUCACGUAAUAUAUACACGGGAACAGGAAUAGAGCACGGGUGCAAAUGCACACGUGUUUCUACAUAGCUGUGUGCGGGGGCUCGUAGGGACAUGCACACACAUCUACACACACUUGUACACGCUUGGGAGUUGUUGCAGUUUACUACACAUUUUCCCCUGUCAUCUUGCUUUUGGCAGAGAACACGCGACUGGAAAGCCAGUAGGUGCACAGUGCAGUAUUACCAUUAAAUAUCAGAACAAUUUAACUUCAAUGAAAAUGAACUGCUUAAAUGCUAGGUUUAAAUCCAUAUGCAAAGAACUCCGCCAGAACCAAGACUCAUAAUGCGCAGCGUUCGCAGUGUAAUAAAAUGGACAAAGGUGGCUACUUAGCAGAAAGUGCCUUUUAAAUUAAAGGACUCAAGCUCCCCUAAUGUAAGCCCUUCUUGAACAGGUGUUAUUCUGAAUAUAUUGUCAAUAAUCCUCUUUAAGUGCAGUUUUAAGACAUGAAGCAUUAGCACCUUGGUUUGAAGCAAAUUAAAUCUGUUGUUAGGGGAUAUCCACAAAAUGGUUC